rnacentral:rRNA from 1 species
CAGUCGCCGCGGGAAUACGAAGGUCCCGAGCGUUGUUCGGAAUCACUGGGUGUAAAGGGAGCGUAGGCGGCGUGGUAAGUCAGAUGUGAAAUCCCGGGGCUCAACCCCGGAACUGCAUCCGAUACUGCCAUGCUAGAGGAUUGGAGAGGUAGCUGGAAUUCUUGGUGUAGCAGUGAAAUGCGUGGAGAUCAAGAGGAACACUCGUGGCGAAAGCGAGCUACUGGACAAUAACUGACGCUGAGGCUCGAAGGCCAGGGUAGCGAAAGGGAUUAGAUACCCCAGUAGUCCCUGUCUCUUAUAU